GGAAACUUGUGUAAACGUAUUACAUAGCUCCCAGAAGAAUAAAAUCACCAUUUUUUCAACUAAAACGGUCUUUUUUAUAGAGUUUUUCCACUAAACUCGGACAAAUUUAAAAAAAAAAUAAUAAAAAAUUGGAGGUCGGGGACUUUUAUCAGGUCGGGCGGGGACGCUAAACAAGUAAUUUUUUUUAUGUGGCCUUAUAAGGAUAUUCACAGUAUAAUAUGCGCCUAAAAUUAAAAAAAUUCAACCUACUGCGUUCUAAAAACAAGACAUGACGCAUUUUUCUUCAAGUUAAGUGGAUUAGUAGUUGCAAUAGUUUCAAACUACA